UACCAGCACCCCGAGUGGUCGGGACGAUUAUUGGGCCUAAAGCAUCCGUAGCCGGUUUUACAAGUCCUCCGUUAAAUCCACCUGCUUAACAGAUGGGCCGCGGAAGAUACUAUAGAGCUAGGAGGCGGGAGAGGCAAGCGGUACUCGAUGGGUAGGGGUAAAAUCCGUUGAUCCAUUGAAGACCACCAGUGGCGAAGGCGGCUUGCCAGAACGCGCUCGACGGUGAGGGAUGAAAGCUGGGGGAGCAAACCGG
rnacentral:rRNA from 1 species